UAUGAAACAGGGCAAAGUCUUUGAAAGAAGAUGACGCAAAGCCGUGGGUCUAAAGCUAAAAGCUAUGAUUGCCAGGUCGCCAUU
rnacentral:ncRNA from 1 species